UAAAAGGUGAAUACACAGUAAAAUGUUCGGUAUUAAAUCAACCAGGCCUAUAUGGUCCCCAUUGCACUCUUAUGUAGGCUACUCUGUUGAAUUAACACUGGAUAUUUCACUGUGUAGCUAGCAACGCAUGAUUUGCAACAAGCUUUAGCCCAUUUGUGUGCGGCCUGCUUACAGCUCGAAAACGUCAUCAAGCGGCAACAAACAAAAACAAAUUUGAUAUUUAAAAAAAAGAAUAGACUAACGAACACACAGUAAUACAGGAACACGACAACGAGAGCUCCUCCUGACAACCAAAAGAGUAGAAAACCAAAAAUAAGGAAAAACGAUAAUUUCCGGGGGUUUUUUUACACGCCGUAGACAGAACGCCCGAGUAAAGGCUCCAAACAGACUGACAGCAAACAGUCAACGGCAACAGCAAUUGCUUCGUGGACAGCGAAUCGGAAUUUCCAGGUUGCAACAAAGUCAGGCUCAGCUCCAUUUAGCCUGGGGCACUUAACAGGAUGUGUGGUACAGUACAGGGCACUACUGCUGAUGGUCCAGGCCAGCCUUAAUUUUGGGAGAAGCCAUUCAAAUCAGGAUGUGCUUCAAUGAGGCCAAGGAGGCAGGAAAUAUACUACCCUGGGGCACUGAGACACCAAGGUACUGCUAGCGGGUCAUCAAGGUGAUCCCUCACCAGUAUGACAGCCAAGGUCACCCGAGGCCAAGGCGAUACUUCAAACCAUAUGAGACAUGAUGACUUCAGGAUUUACGGUGCUCUCGAUCACAGAAAAUUCAUGUAACAGCCAUGACCCUGAGCCACAAAGUGGGGAAAAAUAAGAAAUCUGUAAUCAGAGACCUGGACCAGAAUACAGAUCUGAGCUCAAGCUGGUUCACAGGAAACAGGUGAGUACACUCAGAGCAGAUCAUGGAGAUCAGAGCGUUUCGUUCUGUACACCACACCUGACUGACUGCCCUCUUUAUUGCCUUGGACUGCACAAUCACUUUGAAAAACAGUCUCUGCCGUCCAGGCAGGCUGUGAGAUGUGACUGGAACAGAUUAACGAUGCUCCAGCAGGGGUUGCCUGAUUGAUGUCUUG